AGUUUGAUUAUGGCUCAGGAUGAACGCUAGCUACAGGCUUAACACAUGCAAGUCGAGGGGCAGCAUGAUCAAAGCUUGCUUUGAUUGAUGGCGACCGGCGCACGGGUGAGUAACGCGUAUCCAACCUCCCCUUAGUAGGGCAUAGCCCGUAGAAAUGCGGAUUAAUACCCUAUGUUGUUCGAUGCGGACAUCUAAGUUGAACCAAAGGUUUACCGCUAAGGGAUGGGGAUGCGUCUGAUUAGGCAGCAGGCGGGGUAACGGCCCACCUGGCCUACGAUCAGUAGGGGUUCUGAGAGGAAGGUCCCCCACAUUGGAACUGAGACACGGUCCAAACUCCUACGGGAGGCAGCAGUGAGGAAUAUUGGUCAAUGGGCGAGAGCCUGAACCAGCCAAGUAGCGUGCAAGGACGACGGCCCUAUGGGUUGUAAACUGCUUUUAUGCGGGGAUAAAGUGCGGCACGUGUGCUGUUUUGUAGGUACCGCAUGAAUAAGGACCGGCUAAUUCCGUGCCAGCAGCCGC
rnacentral:rRNA from 1 species